CCUGAGAUCCAGCCUCGCGUGACGCUCCACGCUGCGUGGGGGCCUCUCUCUGCGUCUCCCUUCGCCCCCGCCCGCCCUGCCCCCUCCCCAGCUCGCUCGCUCCCUCCCUCCCCCUCCCUUCCUCUCUCUCUCUCUCUCUCUCUCUAAAAAUAAUUUUAAAAACAAAAGAAAGGAAAUUGAGUGUUCAGGACUUUUGAAAGAUGGGCAUUGUGGCGGGCAAGAGUAGAAAACAGGAAAGGAUGAUCAUUGGGCUUGAAAGGAGUUGUACAUCUUCUGUUAAAAAAAAAAAGUUGAGCUAUUGAGUUAUCAGAACUUUAAGAAAUGCUACUCUUCUAUAAAAAAACAGUUGAGCUAUUGAGUUAUCAUAACUUCCACUAAGAGAAAUGCUAAUCUAUUAAAAACAGUUGAGCUAUUGAGUUACCAGAACUUCGACUAAGAGAAAUGCUAAUCUAUAAAAAAAAAAAAAAGUUGAGCUAUUGAGUUAUCAGAACUUUAAGAAAUGCUACUCUUCUAUAAAAAAACAGUUGAGCUAUUGAGUUAUCAGAACUUCCACUAAGAGAAAUGCUAACCUAUUAAAAACAGUUGAGCUAUUGAGUUAUCAGAACUUCGACUAAGAGAAGUGCUAAUCGCAUGCCAAGCAAUAUCUAUUUAACAUAUAUGCACGUACAGUGAUUCAAGCUGUACUUUGUGAAGAGCGAUGGAAGUUAUCUCUUGAAUAGUGGGACAAGAAAUGAAUCCACCAAAACAAUCUGUGGCAAAAUGAGCAAACCGACUUUGAGUUCCCUGAAGAUACUACUUUGCGUCGUCAGGUGGUAAAGCUGCGAACCCAGCAGACUUCCCAACAUGGUAAUUGUGGCCAUCAUUACAGCACUACUAGUAGUAAGUCACUAUCGAGUGCUUAUUCUGAUCCAGGCAGUGAACGGAACAUGUUAAGUGAAUGAUCUUCCAAGGGAGAAGGAGUGAAGAAGGCGAGCUAUUUCCUGAGCUCCCUAGAGAGCUCUCCUGCACCCCCAAAUCAUCAAGGAGUGGAUUACUUUACUUUGAACAGUCCACAGAGGAAGGGCUGGUUAGAGAAGCCAGAACAGGGAAUGAUGAGAAACAGAAACCAGAAAACUCAUGCCAAGAGUCAGCUGAAGAUCAUUCAAAAUUAAAAAGAAGGCGCUGGCAAAUUGAUGUGUAGCCGAUAUAAAUGAAAGCAAGAUCGUUCACUCUUGGCAAAUGCAAGAUCUCAAACAGAUCAUUUUCAUUCUGGAAAAGACCUUUUUUGUUGAUGCAACCAUUAAGAAUGGUUUAUAGGCUGUGACAACAUUAAGAUAACUUUCUAAUAAAUUAUUUCGAAAUUAAA